rnacentral:tRNA from 1 species
GGUUUCAUAACUGUGUAGCAGUUAGCAUGUCUGCUUUACACACAGAAGGUCCUGGGUUCAUGCCCCAGUGGAGCCA